rnacentral:rRNA from 1 species
UACGUAGGGUGCAAGCGUUAAUCGGAAUUACUGGGCGUAAAGCGUGCGCAGGCGGUUGUGCAAGUCAGAUGUGAAAUCCCCGGGCUCAACCUGGGAAUUGCAUUUGUGACUGUACGGCUAGAGUGUGUCAGAGGGGGGUAGAAUUCCACGUGUAGCAGUGAAAUGCGUAGAUAUGUGGAGGAAUACCGAUGGCGAAGGCAGCCCCCUGGGAUAACACUGACGCUCAUGCACGAAAGCGUGGGGAGCAAACAGG